rnacentral:rRNA from 1 species
ACUCAAAUGAAUAGACGGGGGCCCGCACAAGCGGUGGAGCAUGUGGUUCAAUUCGAUGCUACGCGAAGAACCUUACCUGGGCUUGACUUCCCCGGAACCUCAUGGAAACAUGGGGGUGCCUUCGGGAGCCGGGAGACAGGUGCUGCAUGGCUGUCGUCAGCUCGUGUCGUGAGAUGUUGGGUUAAGUCCCGCAACGAGCGCAACCCUUGUCCUUAGUUGCCAGCGGGUUAUGCCGGGAACUCUAAGGAGACUGCCGGUAUCAAGCCGGAGGAAGGCGGGGAUGACGUCAAGUCAGCAUGGCCCUUACGCCCAGGGCGACACACGUGCUACAAUGGCCGGUACAACGGGCAGCGAAGCAGCGAUGCCAAGCGAAUCCCUUAAAGCCGGUCUCAGUUCGGAUUGGAGGCUGCAACUCGCCUCCAUGAAGUCGGAAUCGCUAGUAACAGCAGAUCAGCCAUGCUGCUGUGAAUACGUUCCCGGGCCUUGUACACACCGCCCGU